rnacentral:rRNA from 1 species
AUUGAACGCUGGCGGCAGGCCUAACACAUGCAAGUCGAGCGGAGCGGCGGACGGGUGAGUAAUGCCUAGGAAUCUGACUGGUAGUGGGGGAUAACGUCCGGAAACGGGCGCUAAUACCGCAUACUAUCAGAUGAGCCUAGGUCGGAUUAGCUAGGUGGUGGGGUAAAGGCCUACCAAGUCGACGAUCCGUAACUGGUCUGAGAGGAUGAUCAGCCACACUGGGACUGAGACACGGUCCAGACUCCUACGGGAGGCAGCAGUGGGGAAUAUUGGACAAUGGGCGAAAGCCUGACCCAGCCAUGCCGCGUGAGUGAAGAAGGUCUUCGGAUUGUAAAGCACUUUAGGUAGGGAGGCGUUACCUACCGAAGAAGCACCGGCUAACUUCGUGCCAGCAGCCGCGGUAAUUC